UGUUUUUUUCCAGAUAGGUAAGCUCUUCGUCACUCUCCCUCCACGAUUUUCUUUCUUUGGCAACGGCGAGAUUUCAACCUGGAAACAGUGCUCUCUCUUCGGCAGUGGCGAAAUUUCAAUCUUGACCUAAUUCGCGUCACUUUCUCUCUCUAGAAAGGUGAGUCUGUUCUUGGAUGAAUCAUCAGCUUCUUUGUUUCAAUCCAUUGUCUCAUUUUACUGCCAAUUUUGGGGUUGUGAUGUUAGAUUUAGAGCUUUUCGUUGUUAGGGCUUGUCUAAUGGAGUUUUUUUUUUGGUUGAAGUUUUCGUUUCGUUUUCAAUAGAUUUCGCUAGUCUAGUGAGCGAUCCAUUGUUUUCACUGUAGAAUUGGUUUUAUUUUUGACAUUUUAAAGUUUUUCAAUUAUGUAGAUCGGAUUUCGUUGAAUCUUUUGAUUGUUUGGUCUUGAAAUUCGAAUUUCGGGAGCAGAGUGCUUGAACCUUGUUCUAUUUUUUGCUAGAAAUGUCUUGUUUAGGUCUUUGCCUCAUUUGAACCAUUUUUGAUACUCCUUUCGGGUUAGGUUUUAUUUGAAUUUAUCAGUAUUGUGAAGAUUUUUAUGUGUUUGACUUGAAUUUCAAGUCUCACUUGAUGUCAUAUAGUGUUUGGUUCAUGAAAUGCUUAGAAUUUAAUAUCAAUUUGCUUAUUUGAUUGCCUAAGCCUGUUUAGAUGUAGUUUCUGCUUAUUUAGAAUUGUAAAAGUGGUUAAUGAGGUUUCACUGACUGACCUAAUUUAAAUUUUGUUUGUUGCUCAAACAUUGGAGGGAAUUUUAGGUGAUAGUUAAAGAAUUAACAGUCUCUUGCAUUGAGUGAUCGUUUACUGCUUUCCAUUUGAAGAACUUUCCUUGUAAAUAGAAGUGAUAGUAAAGUCUAAUUGAAGUGUGUUCCAUGUGAGAGGAAACAUGGCUUUUUUUAGGAAUUACGUUAAUGAAACGGUUUCGCAAAGUGCCUUUGAUGACAAAGGCCAGGGACAAACCAUGGAGAGAAUGCAUGGGAUGGUUGGAAAUGAAGAUGUAGAGAGGACUUCUAGUGAUAAAGAUUUUGAAAUCAAGAUGGAUGGCCACUAUAGAAGUGAUGGUGAACCAGAUGAUGCAAGUAGGCACCAAGAUGGUGCAACUGCAGACAAUGGUAGAACAUCAAAUUUGUAGCCUUCUGGAAAGAGAACUGCUAUGGCUGGCAAAUGGUGGAAAUUGCUUUUUUGAAGAACUUAAAAAAUUGAUAAAUAUAUGUAUACGUAGAUUAUAUGUAGCCUGCAACAACAGAUAGACUGGAAUAUAUUGUGGAAACCAUGGUGAACAUAAACCUGUAGGCAUUCCAAAUAAAGUGCUAUGCUAUGUACUAUAAUGGUGUAUGUUGAGUCAACAUCCUUCUUUUGCAGGCAUUUUUUUGUCCACCUUUAAUCUAAAAGUGGGUUGCUUUCUUGCAAUGUGAUGCUCAUUGGUUCUCACAUAUUUUCUUCAGUGUUAUUCUUUCUUAAAAGACUGUUUGUUCUUAAAUCAAAAGAAUGUGAUAUUAGUUAUAGUCUGACUGGUACAUGUUGUUAUUUAUGGCAGUGCACUUUAGUUCUUUCAUUUUCAGUAACUUUUUAGGCCUUUUCAUUUCUUUGUAUGUACACAAACUAGCCUGUCUUUGAUAUUAACACGCAUUCUCUGCAGAAUCUGCCCCAAAUUUUCCCAAGUUUUCUAACUUCUUUUAGAUAUGAAUCUAAUCUCCACUUGUAUUAUUUCAAUAAUUAACAUUUCGUUCAACUUACCAUUAGGAGUUACAGUGACAAUUACAUCUCUAUAUUGUGGAUAUGCUAUUUUGUCUUCAGUGUGUGCUAAUUAAUAGAAUUGUUCAUGACACUGUAGAAUGUACAAACUAUGUGCAUAUGAUAUUUUAUUACAUUUGCUUAUGAAAGAAUUUGAACUAAUUGUCCUGUAGUUGAGAGUUUCAUAUAUGUUGCAGAUGUUCUUCAGGUUUCUUAAUAAUGGUAUUAUUUCCUUUGUUAAGUCACUCUUUUGUUAUCAGUUUCUUGCUCUGGUUCUUUUUUUUUCUUUAAAUUUAAAAUUUUUUCCUUUUCCUUGUGGGUGGGAGGAUUUUUGGGACAAUGGAUUCCUCCUCAUGUACAAAUUUCACAUGGAUAGGUAGGGAGCAAGAUACAUAAAUUUCACAAAGUGACUUAGAGAAUGUGAAGCCAGUCUAUUUAGGGUUUUUGGGAUGUUGAUCAAUAGUAAUGUGAUACCAUUUGUCUGAAACCUUAAUUGCAUCUGAACUAGAAUCUGGGCAGGAGCCGAAAAGUGGAUCCGAGUAUAAAAACGAGGAUGGAUCUGAAGAAGAUUCAUUAGAUGAAAGAGAAGAUAAAUUAGGGCCAGAAGGUGAUGAUGGGCAGAAGGAAGCAGAUAAGGUUCGAAGGGGUCAAAUUGAUGUCCCUGCUGAUGAAAUGUUGUCUGAUGAUUACUAUGAGCAGGAUGUAGAUGAUCAGAGUGACUCCUUGCAUUACAGAUGGUGAUGAUGAGGAAGAUGCUUAUUAUAGAUGUAAACAUAGCUGUUGCAGUUGAAGCCAUCUUGGCAAUUGGGAAUCUUGCUAAGGGCUUAAGAACCCAUUUCUCUGGCAAUUCAAUCUUCUUAUUGCCUGUUUUGCUUGGUUACUUCACGCUCGUUGGUGAUUUUGAAGCUCAAUGGUUUGGCUUUGAAGUUUGGUAGUGUUUGGAACUUUUUUCGCUAAGCUGUGUCAGGAAGUGGAUCAUCCUACAGUUUUCAAUACUUUUUGUAUACAUUCCUCUUUGAUGUUUUUACUAUUAUAUCCAUUAGUUUAGUACCAACUCCUACGGGUUGUAAAGGAGAUUAUACUAUAAUAUUUGGUUGGGUAGUUGUAGAAAGUAAUGGUGAUAUAGUUGUAAUACUUUUUGUUACUGUAAAAUUGUGUUGUUGCUUUCAAAGAAGUUGAAUUUACAACUAGUAUUCUACCCAGGUGUUAGUGCUAUAAUAAA